CUGUUUUUUCAAACAUGAAUAAGUGAGAAGAAUUAGAUACUUAUUUACAUAUAAAUUACAAUAUGUGGAAUCCCACUACAAGUGGAAAAAGGAAUUGGGAUAAUAAUUAGUGAUAAUUAAUGACAACAAAUAUUUAAUGUUUACUACAUGCAUAACACAUUUAUUUAUUUAUUUUUAUUUAUUUAUUUUUUUGAGGAAGAUUAGCCUUGAGCUAACUACUGCCAGUCCUCCUCUUUUUUUUGCUGAGGAAAUCUGGCCCUGAGCUAAUAUCCGUGCCCAUCUUCCUCUACUUUAUAUGUGAGACGCCUACCACAGCAUGGUGUGCCAAGCAGUGCCAUGUCCGCACCCGGGAUCCGAACCGGCGACCCCUGGGCCUCCAAGAAGCGGAACGCGUGGCACAGGGCCGGCCCCAAUGCACGUUUAUUUAAAUGUACUAUUUCAUACAAUCUUCAUAAAAACCACAAGGUUACCUGCAAAUCAUAUUUAAUGCUAUUAAUUCCCAAUCCAUAUGUAAAUGUACAAGAAGGCUAUAUGGGAAAGAGCAUUUCUUGAAUUCAAGUUUGGAAUCUUUAAAUGUUUAUCUGAAGAUCUAAGAGGAAAGUCCAAUAUUUAGAAGAGUGGGUAUCUUCUUUAUAAAUCUGAAGUAUUUUAUACAAAUUUGCGCAAGGAAAGAGGAUUUAUGUGAAGCAUGUGGCCAUUAUCUUGUGAUAAAUGUUUAUCAUUCUAAAUUACCAAUUUCUUCAUCUGUUUUUCCUUUUCCUUACUAAUGUGCCACGAUAAUCUUGAUGUGACUGACCCAGAGUAUUCAAGGAACAAUAGUUGUUCGUGACAUCUGCAUACUUAGGAACAGAAAUCAUAUGGCAGUGGUUGCUGGCUCCUGGAAAUGGGUCACUCGUAGCACUUCAAACUUUCCUGUAUGGACCUUGAAAUCAGUGUUAAGGAAAAUACCUUUGGAAAGUAUUCUGGUAUCUUGUUUCUAAGACUGAUGACUUUCCAGUUGUAAUUUGAAUCUAUGCAUGUCCUUACCAUAAAUCUCUUUCUGUGCUUCUGCUGUCUUGAGUUUGUAUCUAUAUUUUGCGACAAAACUGAAAUCUUUGGGCUUAACACCUAAAAGUUAAUUUCUCUCUCACAUAAAGUCUGCAGUUAUGUGGGAUGGCUUCCUUCUAAGGAUAGACCUAGAAAUCUAGGCUGUUUUAAUCUUGUGGCUCUGCCAUCUUAAUAAGUGGAUUGCACUGUUGCCACAGCAGGUGAAGGGAGAGCAGGUUUAUAUAUUGGUUUUUAAAUGCUUCACCUUAGAAUGGACACACAUUAUUUCUAUGCACAGUCUGUUGGCCAGAACUAGCCCAAUGGCACUGCCAAACUGCAGGAGAGCCCUGAAAUGUAAGUGAGCACAUGGAUGGAUAGUGUGUAGUAACUGUCUCUGUACACAACUAAAUGAACAUAAAUGAAAGAACCACUAAUGAUAUGGAUUAUAACUGGCAUACACUGUACAAUAUGGAGUUGGAAUAUAGUCCUUUGUCAAUCAUGUUGAAAGAUUCUGGCUCUUGUGCUU
rnacentral:lncRNA from 1 species